ensembl:lncRNA
UGUGUGUGUGUGUGUGCUCAGCUCUCCUCUCUUGUGCAAAGACAGUAGUUGUGUGAGGGUGUGUGUGUGUCCCGUGGGGUUCCUGGUGUUCACGUGUGCAUAACGUCUGGAAUGGGGGUUAUUUUGAACUGGCUCUAUUUUAAGCCAUAUAUCCCUUUUGGCAAACCUGCCUUAGUGGAUACUGCGUAGUGUUAUAACCACAUAUGAGCUGUGUUAAACCAUCACCCCCCACCAUCCUUAUCUUGUGAGCAAGCAGCUCCCACACUGGGGAGCCCCUCUGGCCAGAUGUGAAGGUAACAAACGCCAACAAACAGAAGAGUCCAGGGAUGGCUGUGUGGACUAGGAGACUGUGUGGACUACGAGACUGUGUGGACUAUUAGACUGUGUGGACUAGGAGACUGUGUGGACUAUUAGACUGUGUGGACUAGGAGACUGUGUGGACUAUUAGACUGUGUGGACUAUUAGACUGUGUGGACUAGGAGACUGUGUGGACUAUUAGACUGUGUGGACUAUUAGACUGUGUGGACUAGGAGACUGUGUGGACUAGCAGGCUAGAAACAGGACGUAGGGCAGCAUGUGUGAGGUGGACAUAAUGGAAAAGGAGACUGUUAUUUAUGAGGUGCUUUGAGUUAUGACAUGACUCCUAGUAUGUCCUCCAUCUCUGUCUCUCUCUUACUCUCUCUCUGUCUCUCUGACACACAAACGCAAUGUUCCUUCCAGUUGUUCUUAACAGUCUGUAGAAUAAAGAACAAUAAUCUGACAACUCUGAUCGACACGCAGUGUCCCUCCCAGGCUCUGCCCAUGGUCUCGCCAACAUGAAACCUGUCUUUCCCGUGGGGUUGAGCUCAAAGCUACGAGUGCAUGAUAAUGAGCAAGCAUAAAGCCGUAAGUCCAUGUUCAUAAAGCCCCAUUACGCUUGACGCAGAGGAACUGAAGCUAUGUGAGGAAUGGGAGCGAUGGAAGGCAAGCUGCCCACAGAGUGACUUCAGUCAGGUCGCGGGACGUACCACUCUCGUGAUGGAUGGGGGAGGUCAAGCGUGUGGUCUCCCCCCUCUCCUGGCGGGUAACGAGCCCAAAGUGGGCUCUAGGGGGGGGCGGGGUGGAGAUGAAAACCAUCUUGUGGGAUUGAGUGCGGUGAGUGAUAUCAAAGGUGC